rnacentral:sRNA from 1 species
GGUGAUAAUGAAGAUGAAAAGGAAAAUUAUAAGGAAGAUGGAAAUGAUCACAAUAAUGGAUCUGACAGGAAAGAAGG